GCAUCGGUGGUUUAGUGGUAAAAUUAGCCGUUGCCAAAUCUGUUCUUCACAGCAGACCGCAACAUCGGCUAGCCCCGGGUUCGAUUCCCGGCCGAUGCA